UGCUCCCAUGUUUGGUUUCACGGUGGAUUUGUGGUCCAGAGCGCGCCGGAUAACCCACUCCUCAGCCCCGGCCCGGGGCUACCACUGCCUUGUGGCUUUAGGGGCCGGUGGCGAGACGGGCAGUGCCGGUGCCGGCUCCCUAAGAACAGGGCAGAGUCCCGUGCCAGGUGGCAGAGCGAAGUUUUACCCUAUCUCGUCGUUGCAUCCCCUCCUUCAGUGCCAUCUCCCGGAAAGUUUGGGACUUGGUGUUCAGUCCAGCUGUGGUUGGUUCCACGUCUGGUAUGUGCAGCCCUGAGAUGCUGAGAUGGGAUCAGAGACAAGAGAUCCCCCCAGCACUAACCGGAAAAAUCUGCUCCCGGUGUUCCUGAGCUGUAAGCAGAGCGCCGGGACUCCUGACCGGACGGGUGGCAUGGUGAGGGACACCGGGGAGCAUGGCUCCGUGCUCUGUACAGCUGAGUCCACAGCAGACAUGGUCAGGCUGAUGAGCAAUUCCAGCCUCCUGGCCAGUCAGCAAGACAGGACAGGCUCCGAAGGCGUUGUCACCUUUGGCCACUGUAUCCUUAACUAAAGUUGUCUCUCCAAUAUUGUUUUAUUUCAGAUAAUGCCAAAGGAAGAUGCUUCAAGUGCCAGGUGAUCUGCUUGUAAUGCUUUGCUAAAGUGUUGUCCUUGCUGUCACACCGAGUUUAAAUAUCACUCUUUAAUCCUGUUUCCACAGCACAGCCUGAAAUACACUUGUUCUGAAUGAAGUGUCAACACUUCAGUGAAUUCUCUAGGUUACAGCUUAAAUCCAAGCUCACAUGAAGAUACAGAAUGAACAAGACCUUGCUUGCAGGCGAACUGUGUAGUCAUUCUUGCUGGGGAAAGUAUUUGCCUUCCUGACACUCCACCUGUGCACCAGAGUGCAGCAGCAGAGGCAUGUGCUCCACGUGCUCUGCAGUGCAACCACAUUCAGUGGGUUUUGGCUCUCCACUUUACAGAUGUUACUUCUAAUUUCUGAACUGGUGUGAGGGAAGUUUACUAAUACAAUUCCAGCUCUUGAUACCCAUCUAGCAAUGGCAUUAUCUGAGUAUGACUGGGAGAUGAAGCGGAAUAAUAAAAAAAAAAAGGUAUUUAUUUAUUUCAGCAGGUGCUAAAUGCAAACACCUCAGGCUUGCCAGGAGUUGGAUACAUUAGAGCCUAGUGUCUUCCAUGUGCUUCUUGGAUUUGCUGUGUUGCGAGAGGAAUGGGGCCGUGCUUGGAUACUUUUUCAUAUGUUUUAUGGUGAAACUCAUUGCCGAAGCAUGAUAUUGGCACUAAAGGUUCCCAAGUGUUUCAAAAAAGCAUGAAACAUGAGGGGAAGAAAACUGCCAGGUGCUGCCAGGGGAUCACAACAAUGCCUCCUUUUGACUAAAGAAGAACCUGAAGAGAUGUUAGGAAAGUAUUGUUAUAUGUUUGGCAUCCUUCCUCAGGCAUAAUCUCCCUUGCUGUCGUCCACAUUGGUUUCCACAGGGAAAACAGCUGCAAGUGUUCAUAGUUCAGUCCCCAUCAUUAUGAAGAUGGAAUUUUGGGUGCUGAGAUGGGCUCAGGGACUCCGGAGGACCACAUUCAGGAGUGGAUGAGAUGAGAAGGGACAGAAGAGGGAAUGUGUCUCCCCAUGGCAGGCCCUCUCCUUGGUGUAUCCUUCAUACCAUUUGUGUGGAUCUCACCUGUUCAUUGUGGUCAUCAGUGUCUGCUGGCUGCAGCAGGCUCUGCAGGAUCUUUCCUGGCACCGAGGGGGGCCGCUUAGCAGCUAUUGAGGAGACAUCUAGGGAGAGAGGUUUCUGCCAGUGGUGCUGGCAGCCUGCUUUGUGUUUUGGAAACCCAGCACCUGUCCUUCCAAGCCAAGAGACAAGCAUUGUGACCAUGCCCCAGUCUUUGGCGAGUCCUCAUCAUGCAGUAGUGCAACCAAGAGCAGAACGCUCAUUUAAGGACUCAGUGGGAGAGAUACUCCUCAGCCUCCUGUGCCACCAGAUGCCAGCAGCACUGGCACAGUGAACUGCUGCUGGAGGGGAAGCACAAGGUGCAAGGUAAAGUCCCACCCAGCAUGAGUGAUGGAGGCAGAUGAAGGGGGUGAGAGGGAACAAACUGAGCUGAGCUGAUAAAGGGGGAGAAGGAAGCCCUUCCCCAAGGCGGCAACUGAACCAGCUGCUGAGUGGGGACUGCAGUGUGAGGAAGAGACAGUGAAUGGAAAACCAGGGAAUGACAAAUAUCAGAUCUCUAGAUCCAAGUGGGAGACACCCUGCUCACUGUGUGUGGUGCAGAAGCAGCAUGGCUGCAGCUGGUGGUACAGUGCCUGUGGCAACAGGGCUGCCAAGCUGAUAUCCCACAGAAAAAAGCAUAGUGAGUGAGGUUAGAAAAUUAAAAAUUUCUGUCCUGGGAAAGGAAAUGACAUAGAGGAAAAGAGAAAAACUAAGGAAGCUCUGGCUGCUCUGAGAGAAAGGAGCCAUUUUUUUUUUGUUUUUUUAGUGUUUUUAUGUAUGGGGACUUUGUGCAGGCAGUGGAAGCUGCAGACAAAAGGACAGAAAGGGACAAGUGGAAUGAGGGAUUUAACAAGGUGAGGAGGCAACUUCAGCUCAUGGCUGGGCUGGGGAGGUGCUGAACAAAAGGUAUCCAAUUGGCAGGGAAGAUGGGAGCAAAGUAGGGAAGCCCAACUCACCCUGAAGGGUGAAUGGGACCAGGAAGGGGGAAAAUGACACAGAGGCUGGAACAGAAAGAGGAGGCAGAGGCACAGGGGAGUGGAGGAGGAGGCGCACUAGAGGUUGCACUGCUGGUGGUGUGCCCUUGCUUAGGGUGGUCUGGAGAAGACUGCUCUGCUUGUGGGCAGAUAUGGAUAGCGGGGUGGGUUAAAGAUGGAAGGAAGAUGUGAUCUCCUUAGCUGGAAGACUGUACCUGGAGAGUAGUAUCUUCUUAUAGUACAUGAUAGAAAGGUUGUUUAGUUCCAAGGGAGCAGGGUAUAAGUAAUGUGGGCAGAUGUGACCAGAAAUGAUGGGCGAGGGGAGAUGACAACACCCAUAAAAUCAUGAAUAAUAUGGGGAAGCAACAGAAGCUGUCAGUGUGUCUGACAACAGAGGACCCAUAUGGGUGUAGUAGCUUUAAACAAACAAAAGUAGCUCAUACAGUUUAUGCACAGCUUGGUAACGUGAGAAGUGGAUGGCUCCAGGAUGCCAUGAACAUCAGAGGCAUGAGAUUGAAAAGGGAUUAGCCAAAUUCACAGAGAGCAGAUUUCUCAGGGGUUAUUAAAAAUGUCAAUCUGAGUCAUCUUCCAGUUCUUGAAGUCCCUGAACUAACUCUUCAGAUAUUCUUGCUAUUCUGUACUCACUCUGUUUCUAUGGUGAAUUUGAGUGAAGUGUCUGAGUUGAUCUAACAGCUUGCUGAUGAUGAUACAUGCAGUUCUGCAUCCCUCCUAAAAGUACCUGUGCAUCUGUGCUGUUUCUGCUGCACCAGUUCUGGGAUUUAUUCAGUUCAUUAAACUGGCAGAUAACUCAGAGUGAAUACUUCUCUUCCUGUUUAGUGAGCUGAAUUAGUCCACUGUUUUCUAAGCCAGUGGUUCUUGCUUCUCUCUGCAAAGCAAGAUUAGAUAUUUUUUUAAUGGAAGUGAAGAUUAUUCUGUUAUUAUCUGAUUCCAGGUGUUCAGGUUUUAAGUAUUUAGAACGUCAGAGUCAUGAUAAGAUCCUGAUAUUAUAAAAGCUCCCAACAGAGCUGGAGCCUUGGCUCUCCUGAGUGCCACACAGUUUAGGAAUAUUAUUAAAACACAGUGAGUGGGGAAAAAAGAAUCAUGCUUGUCUGGGCAGCAGUGCUGCAUGGCUUGGUAGUCUCACAUCAUUAUCAGCACUCUGUAUGGCAAACAACAUAAGUUUUGUUGGGUUUGGGUUUUUGUGUGUGUAACUGUUUCUCGUUCCUAGAAUCAGCAAGGUGCCACCAUUACCUCCCCUAGGAGCCUGCAGCCAUACCAGGGUAUGGUAACAAAGGCGCUGAGAAGCAAACAGGCACAUAAGAAACAGGUCAAUGUCUUGUUAGUCUGUACUACUGCCACCUUCCUCUCAGUCAGAAAGCAUAUGCUAUGGCAUUACAGUGAGAACACUUUCUCCUCCUCAGACUGAGGGUUUUCUUAUUUGUCUUCACCAGCUUCAACCUGGCAUGCCAGGAGCCACAACCUGGCGUACCUGGAGAACACCAGGAUGGGCAGUUGCAGUUGCUGGGAAUAAUAAACAGGAUUUGCACACAGUAGGAGCAGGGUUUGUCUGCAUGUAUGAGACAUCUCCACUACAGAUUCUUCCAUAUGCUGGUGAUUGAAAAAAAGACAAAUGUCAUCAUACCUGUCAUCAAGAAUGGCAAGAAGGAGGAUCCAGGCAACAGUCAGCCUCAACUCAGUCCCUGGGGAGACUGGACAGCACAUUAUCCUGGAAGCUAUUUCCAAGCACAUGAAGGAUGAAAAAGUGACUGGGAUUUACCUGACCAACCUUAUUUCCUUCUACAAUGAGACAACAGCCUGUGUGGAGGGUGUCAAAUUGAUUAGGAUUGGCUUUAUCGAGGCUUUUGACAUGGUUCUGCACAGUGUACUUGUAGGCAAGUUAGUGAGAUUUGGACUGGAUAAUUGGAAUGUGAAGGGAAUGAAGAACUGGCUGGAUGGUUGGGCUGAAGGGCUCAUAUCAACCAUAUGAAAUCCAACUGGCAACUAGUUCCUGGGGGCAUCCUUCAGGGAUGCACACUGGUAGGUUGAUAGUGACUAAUGUCUUUUUUAAUGGCCUGGGCAAUGAGCUGUCUUGCACUUUCAGCAAGUUUACAGACAACACCAAAUUGGGGAGAACAAUUGCAAUAUGCCUUAGGUCAGGGCUGCUACUCAGAUGAACCUUGGCAGGCUGGGGAAGAGGGCCUCUCCCUCAGUAACAGGUGCUGGAAAUACAACUGCUGUGAAGGUAUGAGUUGCCACCAGAAGCUGGAGGUGGUGUGUAUGUAAAGGAGGUGGCUUAGAGGAAAUCUGGCUGAAAGGGCUCUUCACAUUUUCUUCUGUUUCACCAGUGAUGAAAUCUAAAUGCAAAAUCUGUUAUUGGCAACAAUUGUGUGGAAUAUGUGUCUGGUCAUUGGUAUUUUGAAGACAACCAUCUUGGCUGUAUUGAAAAAGAAUUCAGAAAAGUUGAAUGAAUUUUGCCGAAGCUGUUGGGAAUUCCUCACCUCUGAGUGACAAGAGCUACUGAGAACCUGUGGCCAGAUUGUCAUAAUGUAAAUUGCAUGGGAAUUGUAGCUACGGGCUGUUCCUCUUGACAUUCCUUCAAGGACUUGCAAGGUUUACCACAGAGGGAGUAGUAAACUCAAAAAGGAAAAGCAGGGUACCGAGAAGUAGUUUCUAUGCACUACUGGUAGUUCAAAAUUUGAACCAGCAGAAAUUGUCUAUCCAUCAUUAACUGCUACAGAAUAGCCAGGAAAAUAUGAGCCAUCACAUCUUCAUGGUAUCAAAAUACCUUUUUGCAUUAGAAUAUCAGGGUGGCAAAAAUCAUAAUUGUCAAGGAAGACAUUCUGACACUAUGUUACAAAGUGUCUUGUGCAAACACAUUUCCAUCAUGCCAUAUACUAGUUACAUUUACAAAGCAAUCAUUUCAAAAAGGAUUUUUUUGCCAGGUUUGUUUGUGAAGAUGUGAUCUGUUCAUCAGUAGGGCUUCAUAUAUGUAAGUAGUCUUACAUAAUGUUAUAGUAUUAGUUAAAUAAGAAGCUUUUUUGUUGAAUUUUUUGUAUCAUCACAUAGUUCAAAGUACAGGGGACCACCCCUGCCCUGCCGGGGCUGCACCAGGGAGGGACUGUCCCCCAGCACUGGUACCCUGCUAGAAAGAGUAGGGUGGUCCCUGAAGUGAAACAUCACGAGAACUCAGGGAAAGGGGAUAAAACUCUCCAGUGCUUCUGGAACUGUCUCUCUUGGUACUUGUGGUUUUGCUCACUGGAGCCUUUCCCCCGGGGACCAACCUGCUUCAUCAGCGGUUGCUCUCGCUCUGUCGCAACCCAGCUUUCCCUCACCGUGGCAAGCUGUCACCAGUGCUUUUUGCCGUGGCAACUGCCGUCAGCUGCCUGAGGGGUGCCAGCGCCGCUGCCAGCCGCUGCCACAGCCAUGCCAAAAGCCUGGGAAUUUCCUUCUGGGAGCUGUACGGGGCACUGCCACCACUUGGCUCAUGAUCACCUGGUCCCAGCGCUGCUUUGGUUCCAUCGUUGUCACGUCACAUGGUUUUGCUUCGUCGGGAUCCACGCUGCUGUCUUGGUGGCAUAGGACUCCUUUCUUUGAACGAAACACUCUUCCAGGUUUUUCUCAUUAUCACCAAGGGAGAGGAAGUGGCUAGGUAACAUAUUUUGUGCUUUUGUUUGUUUUUGUUUUGUUCUGUAUUGUUCUCCAUUUUUUAGUAGAAUUGUUAUCUUUUUCCUCCUUCAUUCAGACUCCUCGUAACUUCAAAAUUUGUCAGUAUUUGGGAGAAGGGAGUAAACAAAAGAGAAGUGGAGGUUUACCUCAUUAGAGGUUCCACCUCCUGAAUAUAUUGUCAUUAAACCAAGACACAUAUACAGCAUUUGUUUCCUCUGUAACGCCCUCACAGGGAACUGUUUUCAGAUAGGUAAGCAUGGCAGGAUUCCCUCAACCCACAGGCUUUCCACGACCGACCAUCUUUCUUUCACAUUGCAAGGUUCAGGCUUAUCCUGAGAGGAUUGAUCAGGUUCCAUUUUCAUUGUCCUGCCAGUCUUCAGUCAUGGUGACUCUUCAUUGCUGACACUUGUCCUCUUUCCUGGUUGUAGGAAUAACCUGCACUGGAAUUUAAUGGUGCUGCAGUGAACACACGUGCUUUGACUUACAUUUAGCUAUUUCUUCUGUUCUCAAUAAAUUCCACAUUUUAAUUGAAAUAACUAUGUGCUGGGACAUCUCAGUAUGUACUUCAGUAGAAACAUAAAAUGUGUUUUAGGUUACCUGUGUGGUCAGUGUUGCAAGAGCUUCAUUGUAGAGGCACUGAGAAAUCACACAGCCCUUGUGUACCUUCUGUGAAAUGAAUUUGUGUGCUCUGGACUGCAAUUCACAGAGCAUUAUAAAACAUGGUAAAUAUGGACAUUGA